UGAGGUAUAGCCAAGUGGUAAGGCAACGGACUUUGACUCCGUCAUUCCGCUGGUUCGAAUCCAGCUACUUCAA
rnacentral:tRNA from 1 species